GCAGGGGAGCCCACAGCAGAGAGCUGGGGGCUGCCUGCGCCGGCUCGCAGUCCCUGCACGCCCUAUCUGGGACCUGGGAUCACUCUGUAAGCAACUUGGAGUCAGACAGGAGGAGAUCACCGAGGAGAGACCUGGCCCCUCAGACCCGCACUGUCUGCUGGGCUGGCCAGCACAGAGCCAGGCCCGGGCCAGCCCCUCCUGGCAACUCUGCUCCUCCCAAAGGAUGCUUUGGGAGUGAGGCGAGGCUGGCCACUGCUCCCCGUGCAGCAGCCUCUGGUCCUCCUGAGUCUCUGGGAGCCUGGGACAGUCCUGCCUGCCCUUCUGCCCAGCUGUUGCCUGUGCUGGGCCCAGCAGUCUUUCUGAUAAGGAGGAAAGGGCAGGAAGGAGGACUUCCUGGAGGGGGUGACAGCCCACAACCUGGGACCGUGUCCACAUCAGAAUCCAUCAGCAACAAGGUUGCAGGCAGCCCCUCGAUAUCCCUGGCCAUUGGUGAUGAUCUGGGAUCCAAGGCAUGGCUGCCAAGAGAGGAACGGAGCAAAGACCCAUCCAAUUCAACCUGUCUUAUCUCCCUCUCUCUGUGCCUGGA
rnacentral:lncRNA from 1 species